UACAGAGGUGGCAAGCGUUGUUCGGAAUUACUGGGCGUAAAGGGCGCGUAGGCGGCCAUCUAAGUCAGACGUGAAAUCCCCCGGCUUAACCUGGGAACUGCGCCUGAUACUGGAAGGCUUGAGUAUGGGAGAGGGAUGUAGAAUUCCAGGUGUAGCGGUGAAAUGCGUAGAUAUCUGGAGGAAUACCGGUGGCGAAGGCGGCAUCCUGGACCAUUACUGACGCUGAGGCGCGAAAGCUAGGGGAGCAAACGGG
rnacentral:rRNA from 1 species